AGGACUUCCGCAUGGACGAAAGUCUGACGGAGCACGCCGCGUGAGUGAUGAAGGUUUUCGGAUCGUAAAACUCUGUUGUUAGGGAAGAACAAGUACCGUUCGAAUAGGGCGGUACCUUGACGGUACCUAACCAGAAAGCCACGGCUAACUACGUGCCAGCAGCCGCGGUAAUACGUAGGUGGCAAGCGUUGUCCGGAAUUAUUGGGCGUAAAGCGCGCGCAGGCGGUUUCUUAAGUCUGAUGUGAAAGCCCCCGGCUCAACCGGGGAGGGUCAUUGGAAACUGGGGAACUUGAGUGCAGAAGAGGAGAGUGGAAUUCCACGUGUAGCGGUGAAAUGCGUAGAGAUGUGGAGGAACACCAGUGGCGAAGGCGACUCUCUGGUCUGUAACUGACGCUGAGGCGCGAAAGCGUGGGGAGCGAACAGGAUUAGAUACCCUGGUAGUCCACGCCGUAAACGAUGAGUGCUAAGUGUUAGAGGGUUUCCGCCCUUUAGUGCUGCAGCAAACGCAUUAAGCACUCCGCCUGGGGAGUACGGUCGCAAGACUGAAACUCAAAGGAAUUGACGGGGGCCCGCACAAGCGGUGGAGCAUGUGGUUUAAUUCGAAGCAACGCGAAGAACCUUACCAGGUCUUGACAUCCUCUGACAACCCUANAGAUAGGGCUUCCCCUUCGGGGGCA
rnacentral:rRNA from 1 species